rnacentral:lncRNA from 1 species
AAAUGUUAGGCUUCUCAAUUUAUUAUUAGGGAAAGAAUAAUAGGAUCAAAAGAAAAGAGAAAAUGUUUUUGGAUUUUUAACGAAGGGAACUAAACCUAUGUUUUUUUAAAUUUAUAGGUCUGACAAGAUUUCGCAAUCCUGCUUCUACAUAUCUCAAUAGAGAACUCAAGGCACGCGUAGUUCUGGGUAAAAAGUUUCUUUGUUGGUUGAUUUUAGCGAAAUCUAUAUUGUUUUAAUAGGCAAAAUACAUUAUUUU